rnacentral:lncRNA from 10 species
AAUAUACAAUCUUUGCUUUGGAAAUUUGUAUAUACUUUUUAUGCUACUCUUCAUAUUUUAAUACCUGAUUUAAUAUCCGAUUUAUAAAACAAUAUAUAAAUACCAAUGGUUUUACACUUUUGAUUAAAGCAAGCCAGCAGUGGUGGUGCACGCCUAUAAUCCCAGCUACUCUGGAGUCUGAGGCAAGAGAAUCACUUAGACCCGGGAGGCAGAGGUUGCAGUGAGCUGAGAUCAUACCACUGCACUCCAGCAUGGGCAACGAGAGCGAAACUCCAUCUCAAACAAUGAUCCACCCACCUUGGCCUCCUGAAGUGCUGGGAUUACAAGGCAUGAGCCACCACGCCCAGCCAGGACUCUUUAAGACAGCCUGUUCAGGGUUAUAUACCUCAGAGCCAAUGUGAAACAUUGACUUAAAGCUUUGAGGGACAUCCUGCUUCCAGAGGAAAGAGCAACAGGCCCAGGCUAGUCCAGUCAGCCCCUCCUUAUCUCACCAUAAUGUAUUCCCAGCACAAUCUACAGUAAUUAUUAAGACCUACAAGGAAGAAAGGGAAGAGAACUGGGUCAAUCCAAGGCCACAUGGAGAAUUGUGCUGUUUCACCAUUCCUUGCAUAUCAAACUAACUCUUCUUCUGUUUACCUCCAUCUCUUAGAGCUUUUUCAUGUUAGUCACAUGUGUCAUUUUCAAAAUAUACAGUUGUGCAUAACAAAAAGAGGCGGGAA